ACUUUCGGCGGCGGCACCAGACUGGAUGUUGGCAGCGUCACUCCUCCUAAAGUGAGCCUCCUGUCCCUGUCCAGUGGAGAAAUCUCCUUAAGGAAGACGCCGAAACUGGUUUGUGUGGCCAGCGAGGGCUUUCCUUCAGACUGGAAGCUGAGCUGGAAGGUAAAGGACCGCAUGAGGCAUGAGGAGAGCAGUGCUGGGCUGAUGCAGGAAAACGCUCUGUACAGCUGGAGCAGCAGCCUGACUCUCUCUGAGGACGAGUGGAUGACGGAGAGCAGCUCUGUGAGCUGUUAGGCCACACGCAGCGGCCAGCCUACAGUCAGUGCACAGCUGACCAGAGAUCAGUGCUCACAGUGAACCACUCGCUCCUCUGCUUCAGGCUUACGCUGAUUGAUAACUCAUGAUAAUGGUUUAUAACUGUAAUAAAAUGCAUUAUAUCGC